CUCCGGUUUGGACUCCGGCACCUUGACUCCGAUGUGUCCGUCCUCCAUACACACGAGCUGGGACUCGGCCAUGGCUGCGGCUCUUCCUCGGCCUCCCGCAGCUCAGCCUGUUUGACAGGAGCUGCUUCAGCUCGUACAGCAGAAGGUCACGGAGGAAAAGACGACAGAAGCAGGAGGAGAGCGAUGUCUGAAGAAUAUCCUGUGAACGAACGUCACAUUCCAUUCUGUUCGUCUGACACCGUUCUGCUCACGUCUCACAAAUCUGUGUUCAAGGAGUCGGAAUUCGAGGGGAAGGAGCGGGAGCAGGGGUUCAAAAGAAUGAAACGUCUUCACUUCAAGGUCAGGUGUGAAACGGAAGAAGUUGAUUUUUUCUUUUGACACUUUCCCCAAAUAAACAAUUCUUCAAAUUUUAAAGUAUUAAUUUGGAAAAGUAAAGAAAAACAUUUAUAAACGCAUCAUCAUUGACAAUUUUUUUCAGAUUUAUACAACACCUACAGUAAAACACAGCCUUUCAGUUCAUUUUAUAUUUAUUGAAACCCAACCUGAAGAAGUAUUGAUGACAAAUAUCUGAAAACACUCAUAACGUUAUGUGAAAAGAUGGAAUCGGGGACAACCCUAAAGUUUGACCUUUGACCUUUGGUCUUUUUGAAACAAUCUUAAAUGUGAUUUAAUAUGUUUAAUACGACAGAAUUAUAUUUUUACCUCAAUGGAAUAAAAACUUUAGAUUUUUGUCGAGGAAACGGCACAGAUUCUAGAACCUACCACCGUCUGUGUCCUUCGGAUUUUUUUUUCUUUUUUUGAUACAUUUAAACUCAGACGUCCUAAGACAACGGUUUAGCUCCGCCCCCUCCGAUGGCCGACCCUCACCCCACCUCAGAAUGGACCCCAGUCACAUGACAACUUUGCCUGGAAAAUCAAUAAAACUACAGGUAUUUCUUGUCACCCCC